UCAAUUUUCAAGAAGUUGUUCGUCAAUCCGGUAAACUCGUUUCAACUCUUACGUGCUAAUAGUAUUUUUUUUGUGUUGUUAGUUUGCUUAAUUCUACUUAUUAUGGCAUUUCCCGUUCUUGCAAGGAUGGUUCGGGAUGUUUUAUCGAUUCAAGCGCCAACUGUUGCAUCAGAGAGCGCUUUUAGUCAAGCAAGACUACGAAUAGGUAAUCACAGAGCGUCGAUGCAGGACAACUUGGAAAAAUCAGUGCUUUUUCGAGAUUGGAUUCGCGCAGAAAGAAGGAACUUUGUCCUAGCAGAAUCACAACCAGAAAUAGAUGAGGCGUAUAAAGAAAUGAUAGCAGAACUUGCUCACGAAGCAACUUCACCCGGAAGUGGUGUGAACAAGCUUCAUUUCCACCAGCGCCAACACAACGACCUCCCAACCUUGAAGGUUUUAUGAGAUGUGUUAGAAAUAAUGCAUAAAUUAUGAUGUAACUUGUACAUUGGCACGUCUUCUUUUAGUUUUUUGUACUUUUAAUGGUGGUAUUAGUACCAUGUUGUGCUCAUUCCAUUGGGGGAAGGAAGACUAAGAAAGAUAUGCCAUUUUGGUCAAUAAAUAUGCUCUUUAUCNNNN
rnacentral:lncRNA from 1 species